rnacentral:rRNA from 1 species
CCUACGGGUGGCAGCAGUGAGGAAUAUUGGUCAAUGGGCGCGAGCCUGAACCAGCCAAGUAGCGUGAAGGAUGACUGCCCUACGGGUUUUAAAUUUCUUUUAUAAAGGAAUAAAGUGAGGCAUGUGUGCCUUUUUGUAUGUACUUUAUGAAUAAGGAUCGGCUAACUUAGCGCCAGCAGCCGCGGUAAUACGGAGGAUCCGAUCGUUAUCCGGAUUUAGUGGGUUUAAAGGGAGCGUAGAUGGGUUGUUAAGUCAGUUGUGAAAGUUCGCGGCUCAACAGUAAAAUUGCAAUUGAUACUGGCAGCCUUGAGUACAGUUGAGGUAGGCGGAAUUCGUGGUGUAGCGGUGAAAUGCUUAGAUAUAACGAAGAACUCCGAUUGCGAAGGCAGCCUACUAAACUGCGACUGACAUUGAGGCUCGAAAGUGUGGGUAUCAAACAGGAUUAGAUACCCUGGUAGUC